rnacentral:rRNA from 1 species
CCUACGGGUGGCAGCAGUGGGGAAUAUUGGACAACGGGCGAAAGCCUGAUCCAGCCAUGCCGCGUGUGUGAAGAAGGCCUUCGGGUUGUAAAGCACUUUCAGUGGGGAAGAAAGCCUUGGGGCUAAUACCCUCGAGGAAGGACAUCACCCACAGAAGAAGCACCGGCUAACUCCGUGCCAGCAGCCGCGGUAAUACGGAGGGUGCGAGCGUUAAUCGGAAUUACUGGGCGUAAAGCGCGCGUAGGCGGUCUGAUAAGCCGGUUGUGAAAGCCCCGGGCUCAACCUGGGAACGGCAUCCGGAACUGUCAGGCUAGAGUGCAGGAGAGGAAGGUAGAAUUCCCGGUGUAGCGGUGAAAUGCGUAGAGAUCGGGAGGAAUACCAGUGGCGAAGGCGGCCUUCUGGACUGACACUGACGCUGAGGUGCGAAAGCGUGGGUAGCAAACAGGAUUAGAUACCCGAGUAGUC